rnacentral:sRNA from 1 species
GCUGGGAGUGGUGACGCACACCUGUAAUCCCAGUAGUCAGGAGGCUGAGGCAGGAGGAUUCAGAGUUCAGAGCCAGCCUCAGCAAAAGUGAGGUGCUAAGCAACUCAGUGAAAUCCUGUCUCUA